UGAGUACGAGACGCUAAGGCGUCGAAGUAGUGUAUGUCAUACUUCCAAGAAAAGCUUGCACUGUCAUUCAUAAAAAAUGCCUGUACCAUAACCGACACAGGUGGGUAGGUAGAGUAUACUAAGGGCGCGAGAUAACUCUCUCUAAGGAACUCGGCAAAAUAACUCCGUAACUUCGGGAGAAGGAGUGCCUUAUUUAUAUAAGGUUGCAAUAACAAGAUCCAAGCAACUGUUUACCAAAAACACAGGUCUCCGCUAAGUCGUAAGACGAUGUAUGGGGGCUGACGCCUGCCCAGUGCCAGAAGGUUAAAGAAGUUGGUUAGCAAUAGCGAAGCUGAUAACUGAAGCCCUGGUGAACGGCGGCCGUAACGAUAACGGUCCUAAGGUAGCGAAAUUCCUUGUCGGGUAAGUUCCGACCCGCACGAAAGGCGUAAUGAUUUGGAUACUGUCUCGGAGAGGGACUCGGUGAAAUAGACUUGUCUGUGAAGAUGCGGACUACCUGCACCUGGACAGAAAGACCCUAUGAAGCUUUACUGUAACUUGAAAUUGAAAUUGGACUUUAUUCGCGCAGUAUAGGUGGGAGGCGUUGAAAAUAAUCUUGCGGGACUAUUGGAGCCAUCAGUGAGAUACCACUCUUAUAAUGUUAGAUUUCUAACUUUGAAUCAUUAUCUGGUCAAAGAACAGUUUCAGGCGGGCAGUUUGACUGGGGCGGUCGCCUCCCAAACGGUAACGGAGGCGUACAAAGGUUUCCUCUGAACGGGUAGAAAUCGUAUCUAGAGUAUAAAGGCAAAAGGAAGCUUGACUGUGAGACCUACAAGUCGAGCAGGGACGAAAGUCGGUCUUAGUGAUCUGACGGUACUGAGUGGAAAGGCCGUCACUCAACGGAUAAAAGUUACUCUAAGGAUAACAGGCUGAUCUCCCCCAAGAGUUCACAUCGACGGGGAGGUUUGGUACCUCGAUGUCGGCUCAUCGCAUCCUGGGGCGGUAGUACGUCCCAAGGGUUGGGCUGUUCGCCCAUGAAAGCGGUACGCGAGCUGGGUUCAGAACGUCGUGAGACAGUUCGGUCCAUAUCCGGUGUAGGCGUUAGAAUAUUGAGAGGAGCCUUCUUUAGUACGAGAGGACCGAGAAGGACAUACCUCUGGUGUACCAGUUAUCGUGCCAACGGUAAACGCUGGGUAGCUAUGUAUGGAGUGGAUAACCGCUGAAAGCAUCUAAGUGGGAAGCCCACCUCAA
rnacentral:rRNA from 1 species